rnacentral:siRNA from 1 species
AAGUCCAUCUGAUAAACUUAGGCC